rnacentral:rRNA from 1 species
UACGAAGGGUGCGAGCGUUGUUCGGAAUUACUGGGCGUAAAGGGUUCGUAGGCGGGAUUAUAAGUCUGAUGUGAAAACCCUGGGCUCAACCUGGGACGUGCAUCAGAAACUGUGAUUCUUGAGUUUUGGAGAGGGUGGUGGAAUUGCUGGUGUAGGAGUGACAUCCGUAGAGAUCAGCAGGAACGCCGGAGGCGAAAGCGACCGCCUGGCCAAGGACUGACGCUGAGGAACGAAAGCGUGGGGAGCAAACAGG